GAGAUGACAGAAACGUGAAACCGAGGAUCGAUGAUGAACCCUCAAAGAGAUACAUUGCAGAUUAAUGAAUAUUUUAGAUUAAUAAUGAAUACAUAUAAAUGUCUAUGUAAAUAUACACCUAGAGCUAGAGAGAGGGGAGAGAGAGAGAGAGAGAUCCACUUACGGCUCCAUUGAAUGAAGAAAUUGCGGAGUCGGCCUCGUUGUUGGAGCUGAAGGUGACGAAGCCGAAGCCCUUCGACCGGCCAGUCUCCCUGUCGAUCACCACCCUGGCGUCCACGACGCUCCCUACCUCGCUGAAGAAGGACUGGAGGCCUUGGUCAUCGACGCUCCAUGAGAGGUUGCCGACGUAGACCCGGUUCGUCGAGUCAGAUUCGGACCCAUUUCUGAACCUCCUCGGAGGUGGCCCGUCUCUGCUCGGAGGCGGCCCGGAGUUCACCCUCAGCGGCCUUCCCUGAAUCUCCUGUGAGAGGCGUCCAAUUCAUCGUGAAACUAUGACGGCGAAGGAAGAGGCCGAAGAUAAUCAAUGCUCAGGUGUCGGCUUGGUCCGGAAAACAUGCAAGACCAGUAGGCUAUGGACUACCCAUCUAGACCCCCGAUCAAACCAGGGCUUGCCCCGUUGAAGGAUCGGGCCUGUGCAGUGAAAUCUAGUCCUCGUCCACAGCCAAAUGCAGAAGACCAAGGCAACAAUAGACAGACGAUGCGCAGAACAAGAAAAAAUUAUCUGGGCAAGUAGAACAUUGGGAAAUGAAUUCUUGUGCGAGUAGAUGAUGAACAAGGAGAAGAUGAUCAGCGGCGCUUUCCCGGUAGCAUAUCGUUCAAAGGAAAAACAAAAAAUUACUGGAAUGCGAAAUAGACACUUGUAAUCCCUCCCCCUCCCCCACCUUUGAGAGAAAUGGGUUCGAUCGUCGCCGCCACACGAAGAUAAUUCAUCAAAUCAGAAAGAGAAGGAAUUACGUCGAGGGAAUUGAAUGCGAGCGAUUUGCAUUCAUAUGGCCGAUGUUCUACAGCUCGUAUCAUUCAUUCCGCAGAUUUCGAAGCAGAGUAUAACUUUCUGGUUCCUCGAAAGUAAUGCAUAAAUCAAACCGCGGAAAUUUAAUUCGCUUUUGCACGAUGAAGACGAGUCGGCGAACGUGGAAUGGUGGCGAGAUGGCGAAUUAGAUGGAAAAUGGAUAGAAUUAUAGGGUAGAGCUUGGCAUGGUAGGGAGUGGCGAGGGAAGAGAGGAGCGGGGAGUGCAGAGGAGAGGGCGGGGAGUGCAGAGGAGAGGGAGACUCACGUAGCCGCUGAACAAAUCGACGGCAGCUUCAACCUCCUCGACGGUGGACAUCGUCACGAACCCAAAGCCGCGGCUCUUCCCCGUCAAUUUGUCGUAGAUAACCUAGAGGAGGAGACAUACGGGAGAGACGGGAUGAGCAGAUGUGGACUAAAAUUCAAAGAAGAAACAGACGGGAAGAAGAGAUUCCCUUCCCCGCACGCACCUCCACCAUCUCGACGGUUCCAGCACGGGAGAAGGUCUGGGCAAGCUGCGCGCUGUCGACGCUGAACGGGAGGUUCCCGACGAAGAGCUUCAACUCGGCCGGGAACCUCGGCUCGUCCUCCUCCCCCCGGCCCGUGAACGCCUCCUCCUCGGUGUCCACUCUCGGCGAAGCAGAUACGCGCGGGACGAGUGCCUGGCCGAGGCUCCUCGUGCUGGACGCGACGGACGACAGCUUGGCGGAGGCGGCAAGAGACAGCGACGGAAGCGGCGCGGAGGGGGCAGCGGCCCGCGCCGGGAAACGGGGCGCGGCGUUGGGGUGCGGGAUUUUGGUGGCGGAGGAGGAGGGGAGGAGGAGGAGGAAGGAUGCGGCGGAAGAGGCGGCCAUUGCUCCCGCUAGAGUUGUCGAUAAGCUUGCAGCGGAGAGCAAGGGAGAGGGCGAGAAGGCUCGCAGAGGGUAGAGGAAGAAGAUCAGCCCCCGGGGGCGAAGAUUUUAAAGGGCCGAGAGGAUAGGGCGCUACCAGGCAAAUAUCCUCGGCACGGCCACUUAAUUACGAGUAUGCUCUGAGAUAUUUUCCCCUCACUGGGAGCCUCCUUCGCCGUCCGAUGGACGGCAUCGCGAAACCUACCUACGGCUCAUCCUACGCCACGCGGCACACAGG
rnacentral:lncRNA from 1 species